ensembl:lncRNA
GCUACCUUGGUUAAAUAUCGAAUUACGGUAGAUGCAUGCUAGCAUUGCGCUAAAUAAUUAAGACAGCUAACAUUAGUUAGUAGUGUUAACAAAGUCAGUUAUUGUAUAUGGCAUUAAUAUUAUUCUGAAACACCAUCACUAGUUGUUUUAACCAGAUUUGUAAGCAGGUUGAAAACAACAUUUUUGAAGUAAAGUCCCUUGGUUUAAAACAGCUAAAAGCUAGCUACAUUAAGUUGCUUGCUCAAAUCCAAACCAACGUCUUCUCUAAACUGGCAAGCUUGGAGCAGCCUCUGUUCAAUGAUUGGCUCAGGGGGUGGGAGGUGGGAUGCGCCCUUGAAGUCGACGGUGAGGGCUCAAAACACUAUUAAGCUGAAUUGCGCCAUGAAUGACAGCUUUUUUUUUAUUUAUUUUUUUAUCGCGGACUUUUUUUUUUUGCCUUAGGCGCUCGCGAUUUGUUGUAGGCGCUCGGGAAAACGGCUUAGGCGCGCGCCCAAAUUUUCUCUAUGCAGGAAAAACCCUGAAGAGGUGUCGACUACUAACCCAAGAGGUGUCGACUACUAACCCAAGAGGUGUCUUGGUGUCGACUACUAACCCAAGAGGUGUCGACUACUAACC